CCUACGGGAUGCAGCAGUGGGGAAUCUUCCACAAUGGGCGAAAGCCUGAUGGAGCAACGCCGCGUGAGUGAAGAAGGUCUUAGGAUUGUAAAGCUCUGUCCUUAGGGAAGAACCGUGGGUAUAGUAAAUGCUACCCACCUGACGGUACCUUUGGAGGAAGCACUGGCUAACUACGUGCCAGCAGCCGCGGUAAUACGUAGAGUGCAAGCGUUGUCCGGAAUUAUUGGGCGUAAAGGGUACGCAGGCGGAUAAUCAAGUCAAGCGUGAAAGGUGUCGGCUUAACCGACAGACUGCGUUUGAA
rnacentral:rRNA from 1 species